rnacentral:rRNA from 1 species
UACGCAGGUGGCAAGCGGUGCCCGGAAUCACUGGGCGUAAAGGGUGCGUAGGCGGCUGGGAAAGUAGCAGGUUAAAUCCCAGGGCUCAACCCUGGAAAAGCCUGCGAUACUGACUGGCUUGAGGGCCGAAGAGGCUGGCGGAAUUCCCGGUGUAGGGGUGAAAUGCGUAGAUAUCGGGAGGAACACCGGUGGGGAAACCAGCCAGCUGGACGGUUCCUGACGCUGAGGCACGAAAGCGUGGGGAGCAAACCGG